AAAAAACAAAAGGACCAAUGCUUGGUGAAGGGGACCAAUCUAACUGGUUGUUGCGCACACUAGCUAGGCACUCGACCAAGCAUGCUAUCUUAAUCACUCAAACAAAAACCAUUUAUUGCAUCGCAUUCAUGUGUUAUACUACAUGUACUACUAGUGCACUAGCUAAGAUGACAGUACAACAUGAUGACUUCCUUUCCUCGGUGGUGGUUCAGAUCUACCAUCUCUCUGCUAGCUCACCAACAGAAAGAGAUGUACCAUCUAUAGCUUAGCUAGCUAGCUAGUUUUCACCAAAUUAUUGGUUAACUACUCCUAUAAACCUGACCAUGCAUGCAUGGCUCGAGUUAAUUACCAGAUAUUGAGUUCUCAGUUAACUGGCCGGUACGGUCCUUGCCUUCAAUCUGGGACGAUUUGCAUGUGAAGCUAACUAACCCUUCAGUUGUGCUGCAUUUAAGGGCAUCCAGCAGAACACACUUUAGGAAGCAAGGGCAACUGUAUGGUGUACUACGUCCUAAAUGGACCACUGCACUCCCCUCCUUUUGCUUGUGCUUCUCCCUCCGUUUUAGAUCUCUAGAUGUCAAUUAGUUGGUGGUUUAGGAGCAAUGGCUGUUUCUCUGUUAGAUCCAAGUGAUGUAUAAUUCAAUCAUGAAUGGUACUGGUACCCCAUAGCCAGCUUUACGGCACAAGAUAUUUUAAUCAAUCGGUUC
rnacentral:lncRNA from 7 species